GAGUUUGAUCCUGGCUCAGGAUGAACGCUAGCUACAGGCUUAACACAUGCAAGUCGAGGGGCAGCAUGAACUUAGCUUGCUAAGUUUGAUGGCGACCGGCGCACGGGUGAGUAACACGUAUCCAACCUGCCGAUGACUCGGGGAUAGCCUUUCGAAAGAAAGAUUAAUACCCGAUGGCAUAGUUCUUCCGCAUGGUAGGACUAUUAAAGAAUUUCGGUCAUCGAUGGGGAUGCGUUCCAUUAGCUUGUUGGCGGGGUAACGGCCCACCAAGGCAUCGAUGGAUAGGGGUUCUGAGAGGAAGGUCCCCCACAUUGGAACUGAGACACGGUCCAAACUCCUACGGGAGGCAGCAGUGAGGAAUAUUGGUCAAUGGGCGCUAGCCUGAACCAGCCAAGUAGCGUGAAGGAUGACUGCCCUAUGGGUUGUAAACUUCUUUUAUAUGGGAAUAAAGUGCAGUAUGUAUACUGCUUUGCAUGUACCUUAUGAAUAAGGAUCGGCUAACUCCGUGCCAGCAGCCGCGGUAAUACGGAGGAUCCGAGCGUUAUCCGGAUUUAUUGGGUUUAAAGGGAGCGUAGGCGGGUUGUUAAGUCAGUUGUGAAAGUUUGCGGCUCAACCGUAAAAUUGCAGUUGAUACUGGCAUCCUUGAGUACAGUAGAGGUAGGCGGAAUUCGUGGUGUAGCGGUGAAAUGCUUAGAUAUCACGAAGAACUCCGAUUGCGAAGGCAGCCUGCUGGACUGUAACUGACGCUGAUGCUCGAAAGUGUGGGUAUCAAACAGGAUUAGAUACCCUGGUAGUCCACACAGUAAACGAUGAAUACUCGCUGUUUGCGAUAUACAGUAAGCGGCCAAGCGAAAGCGUUAAGUAUUCCACCUGGGGAGUACGCCGGCAACGGUGAAACUCAAAGGAAUUGACGG
rnacentral:rRNA from 1 species